GCCUAACACAUGCAAGUCGGACGGUAGCACAGAGGAGCUUGCUCCUCGGGUGACGAGUGGCGGACGGGUGAGUAAUGUCUGGGAAACUGCCCGAUGGAGGGGGAUAACUACUGGAAACGGUAGCUAAUACCGCAUAACGUCGCAAGACCAAAGUGGGGGACCUCCGGGCCUCACACCAUCGGAUGUGCCCAGAUGGGAUUAGCUUGUAGGCGGGGUAACGGCCCACCUAGGCGACGAUCCCUAGCUGGUCUGAGAGGAUGACCAGCCACACUGGAACUGAGACACGGUCCAGACUCCUACGGGAGGCAGCAGUGGGGAAUAUUGCACAAUGGGCGCAAGCCUGAUGCAGCCAUGCCGCGUGUAUGAAGAAGGCCUUCGGGUUGUAAAGUACUUUCAGCGGGGAGGAAGGUGUUGAGGUUAAUAACCUCAGCAAUUGACGUUACCCGCAGAAGAAGCACCGGCUAACUCCGUGCCAGCAGCCGCGGUAAUACGGAGGGUGCAAGCGUUAAUCGGAAUUACUGGGCGUAAAGCGCACGCAGGCGGUCUGUUAAGUCAGAUGUGAAAUCCCCGGGCUUAACCUGGGAACUGCAUUUGAAACUGGCAGGCUUGAGUCUCGUAGAGGGGGGUAGAAUUCCAGGUGUAGCGGUGAAAUGCGUAGAGAUCUGGAGGAAUACCGGUGGCGAAGGCGGCCCCCUGGACGAAGACUGACGCUCAG
rnacentral:rRNA from 1 species